GCUUACGGCCACACCUCCCGAGCACGCCCGAUCUCGUCUGAUCUCGGAAGCAAAGCAGGGUCUGGCCCGGUGAGUACUUGGAUGGGAGACCGCCUGGAAAUACCAGGUGCUGUAAGAC
ensembl:rRNA 5S_rRNA 5S ribosomal RNA